rnacentral:rRNA from 1 species
CAUUGCGGCUCGGGAUCCUGAUCUCGGGCCACACCUGACUGAGGGUCGGUGAUAUCAUAAGAGCAAAUUGUAUUGGGCGCCGUCCGACUCGAUUGUCGAACGCGCUCCAAAUACAAAAAGAAAGACUCGGAGAAGGCCGCCUCUCGCCCCAACUCGCGGCACGAACGCCUCUAGUGUCGCGAGCCUAGCGGGAGAGAGGAGACUUGUACGGUCGUCGUGAGUACGUGUCUUUGUGUUUUUGUUAUACGGACCAACGAGAAAAGCUCGCAAGGUAGUUGUUCGGUGGAGUAACGGAACCCUUCUUAAACCGGAGGCGCCCGCGAAAGAUCGGACUCUGCGAAUUGCGGAAUGCCGCUCGCCGAUAAAAAGAAACAAGACUCUGAAAGCGCGCGACGUCUCGUCGCUCGGUACACGACUCAGUCUAUGAAAUGAUACACAUUAUUAUUAUUAUUAUUGAUCGCGACCUCAGAUCAGGUGAGACUACCCGCUAAAUUUAAGCAUAUUAAUAAGCGGAGGAAAAGAAACUAACAAGGAUUCCCUGAGUAACGGCGAGCGAAAAGGGAAAAGCCCAGCACCGAAUCUCGUACCGUG